CAGGCACGCGUGUUGUGACUGAGUGUGUGACAGAAAACAAUAGUUGUUGUGUUAUUUAGAGGGAAAUGCGUGCAUUUUAGCUUUUCAAAUGUUGUUAAAAGUUCCAAAUACAUUUUUAAAGUAGAUACAUUUGUUGCUAGGUGCUGUUUGGAAAAAAAGUUACCAGGGUAGUCUGAAAAGUUGAUAAAUCUAGCAACAAAAUUGCUAGAUUGGCAUCACUGCUCUGAUGCGGACAGUUGAUCCGGGUCAGUCCAGGUCUGGCCAUGCAGGGAGACCCAGGGAAGGUGGAACUACACAGUCUGGAGGGAAGACCUGCACAAAGUAGAUGCCAUGUGUUUUGCCCACCAGAGGGCAGAAGCCUGCAUGACUCUGCCGGCCUCCUUUGGAAUCCUUUGUACUGCUGUUCAGCCAAAAUGGAGUAGGUGAACAUCUCUUCACUCUCUUAUAUUAGCGUAUUGUUGGCUCAGACAUGGCAGUGCUGCUGAUGAGGAACUCUCAGGGACAAUAUGGUUCAGGAGGCAGUGAAGGCUCAGAGGCCCCUACCCUAAUAUGUAGAGGACACCACACCACACGUACCGAGGAAGAUGUUUUGUGUCUACUGGAUAUAUAUUAAGUAAAAUAUAUAUUUUUUAAAGCCUGUAAAUAAUUGCUAAUGAUAAAAAAUGUUACAUUUUUACAUUACCCUCAUAGAUCUGAGCGAGGGCCCCAAGUCCUGAGACAAACGCCUUGGAUGGAGCAGACCUACUAACAGGGGCAGCCACUAGUGUCUAUAUAGCUGAGUUCACGGAGAAGGAUAUGCAGGGAUACGCCAAGCUUCUCCUGGCUGGACGGAAGAAGAUACUUUAGACUCACAGAUCCCCCUCUGCUAGCUCUCCCACAUCUCCCUUACACCUCCCCAUGCCUCCCCACGUCUCCCCCCACAGUUCCUUCACACCUCCCCCACACCUUCCCAUCGUUCCUUCACGCUUUCCCAUGCCUCCCUCCACGCCUCAUUCACAUCUCCUCCACAUCACCUUUAUGGUUCUUUCGCAUGAGGCCCUAGAGUCGGCCAUGAAGAGUGGAUUGUGGGGACACGCCCUGUUCCUGGCCAGCAAGAUGGACAACAGGUUCUAUAUCACUGUGGAACAGCAGGUUUGCAGACCAGCUACCUCCCAGCGACCCGCUUCAGACCCUUUUUCAGCUCCUCUCUGGGAGGAUCCCUGCUGUUUCCAUGUUGGCAGAGGGGCUGAAUCAGUAUGAGGGAAUGGGACAACUCAGUGACACAGCUGACGACAGCUGCCCACAGGACCCUAGCUGGCUACAGCAGCAAUAUGUUGGAGGAAACACUGUACACCUAGUGACCUGGUCAGCGUGCACUGCGCCCGGCCCGCCACAGGAGUCACUAGUGUGCGAUGAGACAAGGAUAUCCCUACCGGCCAAACCCUCCCUAACCCAGACGAUGCUAGUCCAAUUGUGCGUCGCCCCAUGGACCUCCCGGUCACGGCCGGCUGCGACAGAGCCUGGGAUCAAACCCAGAGUUUCUGGUGGAACAGCCACAGGUGGCCUUAGACCACUGCGCCACCCGGGAGGCCCAUAAAACAUAUUUAUUGGGUACAAACAACCUUGUGUAGAGUAGGGAUUUGUUGUUGAUUGAAUAAUGGUCAUAAAUGGGAUUCACUAAUGCCUGGAUAUUAGGAUAGAUAUGGAUAUUAGCCUACAGUAUAGUCCACUGGUACUGGUGAGUGAAAUUAUGUCAGUAGGCACUUAUGUCAAGGUUGCUGAGGUGGUAAGUAUUUACUAUAGUCCAGCUGGCAAGACAGGUGUCUGGUUUUAACGUGUCUCUACCUGCACAAUGUUUGACCUGACAUAGACACUGAUAGCAUUGUUAUUACUACAUUAUGAUCCGUUUUUAUCAACCAAAUGAUAAAUGAAUAACAAUACCAUACUCGUUAAUUCUUCAAUUGGCUCUCAUAAUCUUAAUGAUGUGUUUUUUCUCUCCUCCAAAACAUUCAUUGCACAUUAAGAUGCUAUGGUUAAAACGCAUGCAUUUGCUUAGAUGGGGAGCUGCGGUUGUAGUGAAACAUACCUGUCACCAGCAGAGGGCCAAUGAGGAGAGCAGAGUAUAUUCAGAAUCAGACACCGGUGACCUUUCAGUGAGGGGUGAUGCACGUGCAGGCACAGCAGAUCAACGUCCCACCUCUGCUGCCAGUCAUGGCUUCUAACACUCAGCUUGCAGUGCCCCUUGUGGCAGGGGGUCAGGACUACAGUUACCACAACACAGACACUGUCUAUGCUCAGCUUCAACAUCAGCGUCCUUCAGCCACGUUAGAGGCUGAUCAUUCUUCUGGCCCAGGCAUGAUGCCGGUGGCAGGGUAUGGUCAACAGUAUGAUCAGAAGUAUGGCUAUGGAGGUCAGAAGGAAUGCCAGCAGGGAGGGCACCAGGCCACCAUCACGCAGGAGGGAAAGGCCACAGAGACAGACAAAAUCCAACUAAAACAAGAGCAACAAGUUCAGGGUGGUUUAGCAGCUGGUUCAAACCCAAGUCCAAAGAGCAGCAAAGUGAGACGUCUCAUUAUGCAGACUCAGCUGACCCGGUUCCCACUACUUUAAGGGUCAGGCAUACCUACUUUUAACUCUUACCCAGCCAUUCGUCCGAGGACAUAACGGCAUGCGCUGCAGCACGGAUGUCAAGUCAGUGAUCUCAAGUUUAGGUUUUGUAGUGUACCGUCUAACAAAUCAUGUCGAUGGAUAUAACAACAUUUUGUUAUCUUAUAAACUUAGUGAAAUAUAAAAACUUUAAUGAAAAGGAUUCUUAAAGUGAACCACGAAGGCCACCAGUUUUGGAUGUUAUUAUUAGGAUAUUCAGAGUAUUUGACCUUGUACUUCUCAUAAGACCCAGCGGAGGUAUUGACAAUCUUUAGUUUGAAUGUAGACCAAUUGAACCUUUUUAACAGAUGUCAACAACUAACUCUAAGUAGGGCAUGCUAUUUGCUGUUGGUCAACCAACUCUUCCCAAUUAUUUGUCAAUGUUAGUAACACCAUCUGUUAUUGUCAGAAAGCUUAAAUUCUUGUUAAUCUAACUGCACUGUCCAAUUUACAUUACAGUGAAGGAAUACCAGGCUAUAUUGUUUGAGGAGAGUGCACAGUUAUGAACUUUAUUAAUAAACCAAUUAGGCACA